rnacentral:rRNA from 1 species
UACGUAGGGGGCAAGCGUUGUCCGGAAUCAUUGGGCGUAAAGAGCGUGUAGGCGGCUCGAUAAGUCUGCUGCGAAAGUCCAGGGCUCAACCCUGGAAGGCCGGUGGAAACUGUCGGGCUAGAGUCCGGAAGAGGCGAGUGGAAUUCCCGGUGUAGCGGUGGAAUGCGUAGAGAUCCGGAGGAAGACCGGUGGCGAAGGCGGUCUGCUGGGCAGUUUCUGACACUGAUGCGCGACAGCGUGGGGAGCGAACAGG